rnacentral:rRNA from 1 species
UGGCAACAAUAGCGUUUUGGACCCACCUGAUCCCUUUCCGAACUCAGAAGUGAAACGAUUCAGCGCCGAUGAUAGUGUGGGAGUUCCCAUGUGAAAGUAGGUCAUUGCCAG